AUUAUAUUGGCAGAUUAGUGCUUUGAAUUUAGAAUUCAAAAAUAUAUUUUAUAAUAUAUAUAAUA
rnacentral:tRNA from 1 species